rnacentral:lncRNA from 1 species
GUCAGUCUAGGAAGCUGGAACAGUCACUUUACUGGGCAAUUGUUUGCAGCAGCAGAGCUGUGUCUCAGAGGCAGUGGACCUCAUGGAAGAAAUCUCCCAGCACUUUUAAGAGUCUGCCAGCUGGAUAACACUGCAACAUCAGUAAUGUACAGUGUGCAGUCUACAAAGCAGAAGGAAGAGCCCAGACUUCAUUCAGCAGAUUACCACAAGUUUGAUGUCACAAGAGAAGAG